GGACCUGUGGCGCAGUGGCUAGCGCGUGAGAUUCCAGCGCUCUGAUAGGUUAUUGCGUCCUCAAGGUCAUCCGUUCAAAUCGGGUCAGGUUCA